UCGGCCUCCCAAAGUGCUGGGAUCACAGGCGUGAGCCACCGCGCCCAGCCAGAUUUGAUUUUUUAAAUGUUUGUGAAUGUGUAUCACUGUAGUGAAAAAUCAAAUUAUUUAAAUCUACUUUCUAAAUAAUUUUGAUUAAAGUAUUCUGUAUUUUGAGUGCCAGUAUUCAUAUAGUAUGCCAAAUCACCCAUUUGUUUACUAUUUUGCCAUUUUAUAAAAUAAGCCUGAAUUUGUGGAGACAUUUUUAAAGAAACCGAUCUUUUCUACAAAAAGAUUUAGACAUCGAAAAUAGAGAAUUUAGUUUCACAUUAUAUAUAUAGUUUGCUGAACCCUACAGUAAUUUGUAAAGUUUGUUUGUGUAUGCCAAUCUUAGAUUUUCUAAAACAAAAUGAAGGGUUUUUGUUUUAUGUUACAUUUAAUAUACAAAGUCCAAAAUAUGCUCAGACAGACAACUUCAUCAGACUCCUUCAUCAACUCCGUUUCCAUCGUGGCGUGAACGGUUUCUCACUGCUUUAGCAUCUGCCUUUGAUUUCUACUAAUUUUCUUUGACUUUGAUUUUUCUUGUCCAUCUCUGGUGGUUGCUUUGCUGCUCCACUUUGAGGAGUUCGGGCAGCUUCACCCUCAGCCGCUCCAACAGUCCGUCCAUUUGGCUCAAGCUCUAGGCAGUUUCUCCUGGUUCUUCUGUUCCUGGCGUCUGAGAUUUGUCAGCAGGGCCAGAUUUUCAGGAACCAUGCAUGGCUAUCGCCUCCUCCCGCCUGGAGGGCUGCUCCUGCGCCUCUGACCGGCGCUGGUUCCAGCCGCGGCCCAGCUGAGCACAGCAGGAACCGCAGUAGCAGCCGGAGCGCCCACGCCCGGGGUCGCCUAGCCCAGGAACGCCUUAGUUGCAACCCUGCGUCGAGGCCCAGCGCAGGUUAGCGCUUCUCACGCCUGAGCAGAGAUCAGCUACUGCCACUGCGGGGAGGACAGAAGGACCCAGGCUCCCCAGCCUCCCUCUGCACCGGGAGUGUAGGAAACUAUUUAAAAAUAAUAAUAAUAAUAAUAAUAAUAAGUAUGGAAUAGAACUUGCAGAUCUAACCCAACCAAGUUUUCAUUCUUUUUCCUUUUCCUUUUCUUUUUUUUAAUGUAUUUUUCUCUUAUAUUAUGCUCGCCUGACGGAAGAUUUUAUGUUCCAUCCUCACAUGGAAAUUUAAAUGUAAUCAUAAUGGUCACAAAUUUAGAAACAGUAUUUACUUUAUUUUGCCUAAGAAUGCUGGGGUAACAUUAAUUUUUCAAUGGUGCCUUCUGAAUCUUAACGUUGAUUACCUUUUAUUUGAGUCUAUUAACUAAACUGUAGUAAGUAAUAAUAAUAAAUUCUUGAUUUGCAUAGGGCUUAACAGUUUACAAAGGGCAUGUAUUCAUUCGUUUAACCGAUAAAUGUGCGUUGAGCUACACGUUGUGCUAUAUUUUUUGCUAGCCUUGGGAGAUAAAAUUAAUAAAAGAAAGUAUUGGCCGGCUUCUUUUGUUCAACAUUGUGAGAUUAAUCUCUGUUGCUGUCUGUGGUUUGCAUAUUUAUUGAUCUACCAUGUGACAUCAU
rnacentral:lncRNA from 10 species